rnacentral:lncRNA from 1 species
GACCAACCCUUCAUUAGUAACAUAACAGAUUGUCAUUUACACGCGCAGGUUCCUGUGAGAGGAAGACACGUGGUGUGUGAGUGUUUCGGGGUUGAGGAUGAUGACCCUUUAAUGCUGAAUCCUGAACAGGCCUCGGAGAGAGAAAGUCAUUGAGGUCUGCCCUGCAUUAAGUCCAACUGAUCAGGCAGAAAUCAGGCUCAUUAAAUCUCCCAGCUGUCUCUGCGAUGGGCCGUUUCUAAUCCCAGCCUCUGCACACUGCUCACACAUCAGUGUGUACACGUCUAGAUUGGGCGUUUCAUUGAAGUGUGAGUGCAGUAGAUGGGGCCCGUGACAGGAGGAGCCACGCCGUGACACAACCCCUCACAGGAGGAGAAACUCUCCAUUGAGCUCCUGGACGGGCAGACCCACGGGAGCCAGCACUC